AUAUUGCGCAAUGGAGGGAACUCUGACGCAGCUACGCCGCGUGAGCGAUGAAGUUUUUCGGAUCGUAAAGCUCUGUCCUUGGGGAAGAAGGUCUUCGUACUUUACGGUACCUCAGCAGGAAGCCUCGUCUAACUACGUGCCAGCAGCCGCGGUAAUACGUAGGGGGCAAGCGUUGUCCAGAAUUAUUGGGCGUAAAGGGUGCGUAGGCGGCCUUUUAAGUCAGGUGUGAAAGCCCACGGCUUAACCGUGGGAUUGCAUUUGAAACUGGAAGGCUUGAGUAUCGGAGAGGGUAGUGGAAUUCCCAGUGUAGCGGUGGAAUGCGUAGAUAUUGGGAGGACCACCAGUGGCGAAGGCGACUACCUGGACGAAAACUGACGCUGAGGCACGAAAGCUAGGGGAGCAAAC
rnacentral:rRNA from 1 species